UCUAUGGUUGGAAUUUUCAAACAUUAAAGUCCCAUUUGCCUCUUCCUAUUUAUUUAAACUCAACUCAACCAAAGCGUUGAAACUAGAGAAAACACACACACACACACUCACACCAAAUAUUAUGUCUAUAAAAUAGCCACAAGUUGAAGAUAUUAAUGAGCCAAGAAGAAUUCAGAAGUCAUUGCAAUGUUCAAUCCACCACAACUAAUUUUUUGGUAAUUCAUGUUAUGCACUAUCACUAGCCACAUUAUAUUUAUGGAUUGUCGGUCGAUACUCCUCGAAUAUAUGUGGCUCCGUUACUGCCUGCCAGCAAUGCACAAUUCUAGAACAAUGUCUAUACCCUCAUUUAAUUUCAUUCUUUUUUCUUAAAUUGGGUACCAAGUUAAAUUUAUGUCACAUAUUUGUUUUUAAAAUAAUAUAUAAAGAAAUAUUAAAGUAAUGCGUAAUAAUAGUUCGUUUGAUGGAGAAAGAUCAUACUAAAUUUUUUGUUAAUAAGAAAGUUAAUGAAAAUAUGAACCUUAAUUAAAAGCUGUGUAUAAAGUAAUUAUCUCUCUCCAUUUUUUUAAACAAAAAAUCAAUUUAAACCUUGCCUUCAUUGAUCUUGUGGUGCAAAAAGUUACAAGUUGCGUCUCUCCAUUUAGAGGAUCAUACAUUUUUUUGACAACGAUAUAUUAAUAUUUUGUGAUUUUUUUCAAAUAUAUUAAAUUUUUAAUUAUGCUGAUUCAUAUAAUGCUUUUUUAAAUUAUAUAAAAUUGUAUUUUUAGAAACCUUAAGAAAAAGAAUAUGUCCAAACUUAAAUCAAAUAUAAGAUGUACAUACUCCACAUUCGGAGGCAACAUAUAGUGUGUGGCUCAUUCGAACCUUCUUUGACGAAAAAUAAAAUUAUUUUUUAAAUAUA